rnacentral:lncRNA from 1 species
GGAUUCUAAGCUUGUCGGCUUCUGGAACCUUGGAACACUGGCAAAGGCUCUGGCUAUGUCAGAAUUCAAUCUUAAAAGGCACUUAUAAUAAGAUAAUACUAAAAGAGAGCACGUGGAUCCAUACACUAGACUAACGCGGGGAUAGAAUGUGAGUAUACAGGUUAAUGAAAACGCCAAAGCUCCAGGAGGUGAGUUCCUUUUGAAACUCUUUGCCUCGUGAGUGCUUCCAGGCUUCUCAGCCUGUCAAGCAGACUUCACUGGAGUGUGCGUGGCAACCGUCCAUGAAGGAAUGUUGCUUACUGGCCUGCUCUUCAUGGUUUGCUUAGCCUGCUGCCUUGUACAACCAAGGAUCAGCUGUCUGCCCAGAAGUAGAACCACCCACAAUGGGCUGUGCCCUUCCUUCAAGAAAACACCUGAUUGACACACCUACAGGCAAUGUGGGUAGAGGCCUUUUCUCAAUUGAGGUUCUUCUUCCCACAUACCUCUAGCAUAUCAAGUUGGCCAAAAAUCAGCAACAAGCAGGGCAUUUAUAUAGUUAGCUCUUACUGGCUUCCCAUCCUGUCCCCUCUGGUACCACCUGCAUUGGGAACAGCACCCAAUCAUGCUGAGAGAAUGUAGAAGAUCUGGCUCCUUACCCAUUAGCACCUGGAGGAGAAGUUGCAGGAGGCUCAUUUCUGCCAAGUGCCUAUAAGAAUCCUGCCUCCCCACUGGGUCUUCCCUAGUUCCAUGGACUGAGAUGGAGGAAGAGAAUUUU